UGAGAGGAAGGCAGAAUACAGACCUGCGAGCUGCUUUCCUCUUCAAGAUGGCGCUCUGUGAGGAAGGCAGAUGCUGAGAUGAAACCACCAAGUGGAGGACUACCUCCAGGAGAGGCCAUAUAGUCAAGCCAACACAUCCAGACCAACCUAAACCCACAGCUAACAUCCUAGCCUUCGGGGAUUUGACAGAAAUCAUAAUAAUAAUUGUUCUAUUGUUUUAUGUGUUGAAAUUGUCACAAAAAAAGUAUAAUAAUUUAAAAAUAAAACUAGCUUACCGGCCCAGAACACAGAACACACAGAGUUGUCUGUGUGUCAUACACUGGCCGACAUUUGGGCUUUUAUCUAAGUCAGUUCUGGAAGAGCAAAGCAAAUGUUUAGUAGCAAACAGUAUAGGAGUGUUUUCCAUUAAAUUAAAAAAUACUGAAGCACACAGUUGGGAAUCAGUGAAACUACACUCAUCGUCAAGCUUUAAUUACUUGAAUCAGCUGUGUAGUUCUAGGAACAAAAAACCCCCAAAUGGUUUGGUAAACCCUGCCCUAGGCCACAACACAUCACUAGUUCUCAACACCAAAUCAUUGUUCGCAAUUUGUAUAAAAUCCUUUUUUAUAGUAUUCACAAUGUAUCUUUUAGAUAAUAAAAAAAAAAUGUAUGAUUUGUAUUUGUACGAUGUAUGUCAAGGUUUUCAUGAAAUAUGCCAGUUACAAAUAGCCUAAGAGUUUGAUUUUUUUUUUUAACUAUAAUAUAUGAAUAGAAAGUCUACUGUAUUUCAAAAAAAAAGUAUUUAUAUACUUAUUUUCCACCAUAAUUUGCAAAUAAAUUCAUUAAAAAUCCUACAAUGUGA